rnacentral:rRNA from 1 species
CCCUUAGAUGUUCUGGGCUGCACGCGCGCUACACUGAUGCGUUCAACGAGUUUAUGACCUUGCCCGAUAGGGUUGGGUAAUCUUUUUAAAUCGCAUCGUGAUGGGGAUAGAUUAUUGCAAUUAUUAAUCUUCAACGAGGAAUUCCUAGUAAGCGCGAGUCAUCAGCUCGUGCUGAUUACGUCCCUGCCCUUUGUACACACCGCCCGUCGCUCCUACCGAUUGAGUAAUCCGGUGAAUAAUUCGGACUGCAGCAGUGUUCAGUUCCUGAACGUUGCAGCGGAAAGUUUAGUGAACCUUAUCACUUAGAGGAAGGAGAAGUCGUAACA